AGUCUCCAGCCAUGUGUGGAAACGCCACGCAUGACCUCUGGGUCAUGUUCUGUGGUCACUUAUUCUCCUUCUGGAGGGAGCUGUUAGGAAAUCGAACCCCAGGAAGGUUUGGAAAGAGCCUGGCCCUGGGACCCAUGGGUGAGGAAAGUCCUGAUGCUGGGCUGAUGAGCCUGCCACUCCCUUAGCUCACCUCUGCCUGCAUCUCUUUCCCACUGAUGGUCUUCCUCUGGGGCAGCUGAAACCCUGCGUCCUGUCCCUGAGCUGCCUGGAGAGGAUGGCUGACGCCACAUCAGUUACCUUCCAUUGCUGCAAGAAGAUGCCCGAGGAAGCUGACAAGGAAGUCCAGGUCUCUCUCCAUCAGAGCCGAUGAGAAGUUCAGACCUCACACACCGCUGUUCAUGUGCUAGGACCAUCUUCUACCCAUGGCGCUCCUGGCUACCUCUGGAAUGAUUGAUCUUGUCCCCAGUCACCUGCCACACUUCCAGACACCGCUUGGCAUCACCGAGAAUGAGCUAAGAUGCUCAGAAGAAUGUCAUUUUGCUCUGGGCAAAGCAUCCUUGGUGAGGAGAAAGAGCUGGCAGAGGUGCUGCCCAGCCUGCACAAGGCCAACGGCCUACAACAAGCAUCAUAGGUGAGUUCCAGCCCCAGAGCUCUCCUCUUGUCCUCAGCCUUUAAAAUGAUGCCUUGGCUUAUUCUGGCAAUUGUCAGUGCAGCCAAGAACAGCGACAGAGAGGUGUCCUCUUUCCUGAGGGUCUCUGUUUUCUUGUGCACUGCCUCUGUGGCCUCUGAUUCCAAUUUCCUCAGAGAGUGCCCUUGGCUCUCUGACACUUCUUUCCUCAGUGGGACAGCUCAUUGCCUUCCAAUCUCAUGCUUGUCAAGCCAUGCAUCCGUAUCCCCAGGGCUUUGAAUAAACCACCUAUCCCGGGAAACUAGGCGAACUUCACAGCUAAGGAUAUUAGGAGAUCGCUAAAGAAACACUUGCCUUCCAUAAACUGUCAGGCACCUAGAUAUGUGACACCUUAGCAGCCGGGACAUUUGGGUGCAAACAGGCAACAAGGAAAUGGAUUGUGGGUAAGGCUAUAGAUUCAUAUUGUUUGGGCAAUUUAUGUUUUCAGGUUGUACUGGCUGGCUUUGUGUGUCAACUUGACACAAAUUGGAGUUAUCACAGAGAAAGGAGCCUCCCUUCAGGAAGCGCCUCUGUGAGAUCCAGAUUUAAGGCAUUUUCUCAGUUAGUAAUCAAGGGUGGGAGGGCUCAUUGUGAGUGGUGCCAUCCCUGGGCUGGUUGUCUUGGGUUCUAUAAGAAAGCAAGCUGAGCAAGCCAGGGGAAGCAAGCCAGUAAGCAGUACCCCUCCAUGGCCUCUGCAUCAGCUCCUGCCUCCAAGUUUCUACCCUGUGUGAGUUUCUGUCCUGACCUCCUUUGGUGAUGAACAGCAAUGUGGAAUUGUAAGCUGAAUAAACCCUUUCUUCCACAA